UAUUUUUUUUAUGGAAGAGUUACAUAUCCGACUUAAAAUUGUUGGCAGACUUUUUUAUUUAUGUGGUGGCAGACUUAAUUUAUGUCGUAGCAGAUUUGUUGACGGAAAUCUGGGUUUGUGUAAACUAGAUUCGAAAUUAAUGUUGAAUUAAAUUUGGUUUACCUUAAUUUCAAACCUGGUUUUUUUGUUAGUGUAAUUAAAAUUAGAAUCUAUUAAUAUAAAGUACACAUGGUCUCUCUCCUGGUUAAGACACGUCAUCAAAUAGUCUCCUCUGUGUGCGACACCUGUCCCACCAUCUUCAACGAUGCGUUUCAUUAACUCCAUUCCAUGAGAUACGUGGGCUUCGUUGUGUGUUGGCAGUGCUUGAUAAUGUCAACAAGGACCCAGCCCCUUAUCACUAAUUUAGGGUUCAUCACAAUCUUCCGCAAUUAGAGAGUCUGAGAUGCAGAGGUCGGCAUGAUGAUUCCGUUUGUUGGAGUUUCGAUCAUGUCUUUUCACCUUCGUUCCAUCCAUUGAAAUGAGACAAUUUCCAGAUCCAACGCAUUAAAACACGUUCUUAACUACUGAGCCACGAACUACAAUGUGUGUGAAUCUUCUUAGAUACCAUUAUCUCAAAAUAUGGUUUUCUCUCUCUCCUUCGAGGGUUUCUGUGAGAUUCUAAGUUCCCAUGUGGUUGUUCAGAGUUGUAACAGUUUAUGUAUCUGACCGCAGCAUUCGGAGCUAGAAACGGCGGUGUUAGGCCGUUCCAGGAUGCAACAGGUCUUCAAUUGCUUCAUCUCGGCGGCGGCAGUUUUGGAAACUAACGAUGCUAACUCCCAAGAACGCCGGUGGUUUCACGUCGUUGCUUGAGCCUCCACCUACACAAGCAGUGUAUCUUCUCCAUUUCACUGAUUUACGGAAUCGUUUUAGAUAUCUCCACCGCCGCUUCACCGUUACGGAACAUUGACUAGCAAGAACAAUCGGUCUCGCAAGAGAAAAUAACUCGACAAGAAGGCUAACUUCUCAACGAAGAAGAAGAACUAAAGCUUGGAAGAGAACGAGAAGCUUUCAUAUGUUCAUGUUAGAGCUCGCCGUGGUGAAGCAACAGAUAGCCAUAGCUUAGCAGAACGAGCAAGAAGGGAGAAGAUUAAUACACGGAUAAAGCUGCUACAUGAACUGGUUCCAGGCUGUGAUAAGUAUUCUCACAGGAAAAAUUCUGGCUUGAAAUCAGAAUGGAGCCUUCGUCAAGAAGAUAACAAUAAAAGUUCCGGAAAUGACUUGAGAGACAAUUUGAGUGACUUCAAAGGUGAUGGAGCAGACGAUGCAGAAGAAGAGAACAAUGAUUUCUUCUAUGAUUCCGAAACUGACCACGUCCAUUACGUAAUUAAAAUUUUGUUUUUCUUAUUGUACUUUCAAGCUUCUAUAGGAAUUUUUUUUAUGAGAUUCAGUGAGUUUAGAGACUUUUAUGAUUCUGAGUGAUACUUUUGGAUUGUUUGGAAGGUCUCAACUUCUCGGAUGGGGCUAACAUGUAAUUAUCUUUUUUGUUUUUUUUUCUUUUCUUUUUGCUACAACUAACGUGUAAUUCUCAAUCUCUCAAACCUUCAUAUGCUUUUAUCAA